rnacentral:tRNA from 1 species
CACUAGAAAGCUAAUACGGACACAGCGCCAGCCUUUUAAGCUGGAGACAGGUGACUUCCAACCACCUUUAGUGA